UAAAUCAGUUAUGGUUCACUAGAUCGUAAAUUUUACACGGAUAACUGUGGUAAUUCUAGAGCUAAUACGUGAUUCAAGCUCGCUUCCUUGUGGAGCGAGCGCAGUUAUUAGAUCAAAACCGAUCCGGCCUUCUGGUCGGUAAAAUUGGUGACUCUGAAUAACCGAAGCGGAGCGCAUGGUCUCGUACCGGCGCCAGAUCUUUCAAGUGUCUGACUUAUCAGCUUGUUGUUAGGUUAUGUUCCUAACAAGGCUUCAACGGGUAACGGGGUAUCAGGGUCCGAUACCGGAGAGGGAGCCUGAGAAACGGCUACCACAUCCAAGGAAGGCAGCAGGCGCGCAAAUUACCCACUCCUAGCACAGGGAGGUAGUGACGAAAAAUAACGAUGCGAGGGCUAAUAGCUUCUCGUAAUCGGAAUGGGUACACUUUAAAUCCUUUAACGAGGAUCUAUUGGAGGGCAAGUCUGGUGCCAGCAGCCGCGGUAAUUCCAGCUCCAAUAGCGUAUAUUAAAGUUGCUGCGGUUAAAAAGCUCGUAGUUGGAUCUGGGCUUCUGAAUGGAUGGUGUACUUUUCGGUGCAACUGUUCGUUUGGUGCCACCAGCCGGCCAUGUCUUGCAUGCUCUUCAUUGAGUGUGCAUGGCGACCGGAACGUUUACUUUGAAAAAAUUAGAGUGCUCAAAGCAGGCGUACGGCCUUGCAUAAUGGUGCAUGGAAUAAUGGAAUAGGACCUCGGUUCUAUUUUGUUGGUUUUCGGAACUCGAGGUAAUGAUUAAUAGGAACAGACGGGGGCAUU
rnacentral:rRNA from 1 species